rnacentral:rRNA from 1 species
GAUUCUGGCUCAGGAUUAACGCUGGCGGCAUGCCUAAUACAUGCAAGUCGAAUGGUUAGCUUGCUAACCAUGGCGAACGGGUGAGUAACACGUAGGUAACCUGUCUUUAAGACGAGGAUAACCAUUGGAAACGAUGGAUAAUACUGGAUAGGACAAAUCCCCGCAUGAGGAGAUGUUUAAAGGAGCAAUCCACUUAGAGAGGGGCCUGCGGCGCAUUAGCUAGUUGGUGAGGUAAUGGCCCACCAAGGCGAUGAUGCGUAGCCGGACUGAGAGGUUGAACGGCCACAAUGGAACUGAGAACGGUCCAUACUCCUACGGGAGGCAGCAGUAGGGAAUUUUCGGCAAUGGGCGGAAGCCUGACCGAGCAAUGCCGCGUGAACGAUGAAGUAUUUCGGUAUGUAAAGUUCUUUUAUUUGGGAAGAAAAAACAAAUUGACUGUACCAAAUGAAUAAGCUCCGGCUAACUACGUGCCAGCCGCCGC